CUCCGAAAGAUGAGUCCCGAAUAGGACGAAAUGCGCGUCUUGGAU
rnacentral:hammerhead_ribozyme from 1 species